rnacentral:rRNA from 1 species
UACGUAGGGGGCAAGCGUUGUCCGGAAUCAUUGGGCGUAAAGCGCGUGUAGGCGGCCAGAAAAGUCCGCUGUGAAAACUCGAGGCUCAACUUCGAGCUGUCGGUGGAAACUUUCUGGCUAGAGUCCGGAAGAGGAGAAUGGAAUUCCUGGUGUAGCGGUGAAAUGCGCAGAUAUCAGGAAGAACACCCGUGGCGAAGGCGGUUCUCUGGGACGGUACUGACGCUGAGACGCGAAAGCGCGGGGAGCAAACAGG